rnacentral:rRNA from 1 species
CAGCGGAGCGUGUGGUUUAAUUCGAUGCAACACGAAGAACCUUACCCAGGUUUGACAUGGACCUGCAAGCGCCGGAAACGCUCCUUGGUGCAGGUGUGACGAGCGCAACCCCUGUCCGGUGUUAGGGAUGUCAAGUCGCAUGGCCCUUACACCUGGGCUACAUACAUGGCCAGCCACGUAGGUCGCGAACCCGUAAGGGGGAGCAGCCCUAAAACUGGUCUUAGUGCAGAUCGAGGUGCAACCCGCCCUCGUGAAGAUGGAGUUGCUAGUAACGGGUAUCAGCAAGGCGCCGUGAAUGCGUACCCGGGCCUUGUACACACCGCCGUCACGUCAUGGGAGUGGGCAAUGCCUGAAGUCCGUGGGCCAACCCGCAAGGGGGGCAGCGGCCGAGGCAGGGUUCGCGACUGGGACGAAGUCGUACAAGGU